UGUUAGGUUGGUGCACAAGUAAUUGUGGUUUUUGCCAUUACUUUCAGUAGCAAAACCCGCAAUUACUUGUUG
ensembl:miRNA